GCAAGUAGAACGCUGAAGAGAGAGCUUGCUCUUCUUGGAUGAGUUGCGAACGGGUGAGUAACGCGUAGGUAACCUGCCUUGUAGCGGGGGAUAACUAUUGGAAACGAUAGCUAAUACCGCAUAACAAUGGAUGACACAUGUCAUUUAUUUGAAAGGGGCAAUUGCUCCACUACAAGAUGGACCUGCGUUGUAUUAGCUAGUAGGUGAGGUAAUGGCUCACCUAGGCGACGAUACAUAGCCGACCUGAGAGGGUGAUCGGCCACACUGGGACUGAGACACGGCCCAGACUCCUACGGGAGGCAGCAGUAGGGAAUCUUCGGCAAUGGGGGCAACCCUGACCGAGCAACGCCGCGUGAGUGAAGAAGGUUUUCGGAUCGUAAAGCUCUGUUGUAAGUCAAGAACGGGUGUGAGAGUGGAAAGUUCACACUGUGACGGUAGCUUACCAGAAAGGGACGGCUAACUACGUGCCAGCAGCCGCGGUAAUACGUAGGUCCCGAGCGUUGUCCGGAUUUAUUGGGCGUAAAGCGAGCGCAGGCGGUUUGAUAAGUCUGAAGUUAAAGGCUGUGGCUCAACCAUAGUUCGCUUUGGAAACUGUCAAACUUGAGUGCAGAAGGGGAGAGUGGAAUUCCAUGUGUAGCGGUGAAAUGCGUAGAUAUAUGGAGGAACACCGGUGGCGAAAGCGGCUCUCUGGUCUGUAACUGACGCUGAGGCUCGAAAGCGUGGGGAGCGAACAGGAUUAGAUACCCUGGUAGUCCACGCCGUAAACGAUGAGUGCUAGGUGUUGGAUCCUUUUCCGGGAUUCAGUGCCGCAGCUAACGCAUUAAGCACUCCG
rnacentral:rRNA from 1 species